rnacentral:lncRNA from 10 species
GCAACAGUCAGAGGACAACAGAACUUCACAAAUAGUGGAAGUGAAGUUUCAACUUAUGGCCCAAGAAAAUAGAAGUCAGAAUCAAAAUCCAGCAUGCAGAACUUGUUGUAAAACAUGGCAGUACAGACAGUAUAUCUCUCCACAUUGUGUCUGAAUUUGGAGGAGGGAACAUGAGUAAGACGUGCCUUUCACCUUCUUCCACGAUUAUGAGGACUGCCAGCCACUUGGAACUACUCUCAAAAAGUACCAGAAGUAACUCAUGAGUAAGUUACUCAACCAGGAAAAGCACAUAGAACAGCAUAGAGAUUGCCUUAAGGAAGAAGCUACUGCUGCUGCCAUUCUGCAUUGGGAAGCUCAUCAAACACAUCAUGGGUAUUAUAGCGCAGGAAAACAGCCUGCCUGCUGCAUGGCACGAGUGACUACGCCACCAUCUUGAGGAAAACCAUCACAAUGCCCAAUGUUUGACUCCUGCGUAUCACGGUGUUCUGAAGCAAGGUCUUUUUCCCCGGAAGUAACAAGUCACAGCAUGGAAGUCUGAGAUGUAACUAGCUGCACUUGUCUUUACCCUAAAUGCUUGCUAUCUAAAGGACAUUCUCUAGAGGAGAUUGCGAAAUCCACCGUAUCACAACCACCCAAGAUAUCAUUUCUGUUCAUAAGUCCCUAUUAAAUAUGUAUUUCUGAGAAACUGGCUUUUUUUCAGCAUCUUUCUUCAGCAUCUCAGCUCCCUCAGCCUUUGGGGGUAGAUUUGAAUAUACCCAUCAUUUUUAUGGUCUUAGCAUGGUCUCAAUGUACUUCAACUGGCCUGUUAUAAAU